rnacentral:rRNA from 1 species
AUACGGGGGGUGCAAGCGUUAAUCGGAAUUACUGGGCGUAAAGCGCGCGUAGGCGGUUUGCUCAGUCGGAUGUGAAAGCCCAGGGCUCAACCUUGGAACUGCAUACGAUACUGGCAAACUAGAGUGUGAGAGAGGAUAGUGGGAUUUCCGGUGUAGCGGUGAAAUGCGUAGAUAUCGGAAGGAACAUCAGUGGCGAAGGCGACUGUCUGGCUCAACACUGACGCUGAGGUGCGAAAGCGUGGGUAGCAAACAGGAUUAGAAACCCUAGUAGUCC